rnacentral:tmRNA from 1 species
GGGGACGCUACGGAUUCGACAGGGGUAGUUCGAGCUUGGGUUGCGAGUCGAGGGGAUCGGCCUCGUUAAAACGUCAAAGCCAAUAACUGGCAAAACUAACAAUAACUUCGCUUUAGCUGCCUAAUUAAGCACUAAGCGGUUCGCCCCUCCAUCGCCUGUGUGGUAGGGUAGCGGACUCACUUUUAGCAGGCUACGCCGGAUUCCACCGCCUGAGGAUGAAGGAAGAGAACAACCAGGCUAGCUGACCGGCCGCCCGUCGAUAGGCAAAAGGCUCAGCGAAACACGAAUAUAUCGACUACACUCGUAGAAGCUUAAGUGCCGAUAUCUUUGGACGAGGGUUCGACUCCCUCCGUCUCCACCA